rnacentral:snRNA from 1 species
GGCGUCGGCCUGUGGGCUCC